AGUCAGAUGCCCGAGUUGGUCCAAGGGGUAUGACUCAGGUUCAUAUAGCGCAAGCUGCGUGGGUUCGAAUCCCACUCUGACUA
rnacentral:tRNA from 1 species